rnacentral:lncRNA from 1 species
CAGAAUCGGACACUUAGCUGGAAGACGAGGUGAUCGGACUGGAGGCGGCGAGGGUGGAUUAGAAGUACUCGACGGGAAUGUCGGGAUGAUCAGGGUGCGUGAGUGUUUGUUUCAGAAUUUUAAUCAACGGUUUUCCAUUGAAAAAUAAGAGUAUUUAAGUAUCACAACCAUUUGCAAUUAAAAGGAAACCAAGGGUUUAUUUAGUAAGUUUUCCCAUUAAAUUUGGGAGUUGUCGGCCUUCACACUUCAUAAUCCCUAAACCAGAUUGGAGGCCGGGUUUCUCUCUUCUCCCUCCGGUUCACAGACGGUCUAGACUCGUUGGGCUGUGGUGAGUCGUCGUCGUCUGCCCCAACUUCUACUUCUAGGUCAACUUCUGGAGAUGCUUCAUCCUUAAUCUUCUGGAUGUUAUCGCGGAUGUCUCUGUAAUGAAUUACCCACACAUCAUCACCACCUCCUCUGACAUUGUCCUCAAUGUUGAUACUAGGGAAGAUCUUCAGCAGCUCUUCUUCCGACUCCCAUGAAGCAUCCUCAGGUAUCGAUCCAUUCCAGGAUAUCAUGACUUGUUUCUUAUGUUUUCCUCCUUGAAAGAUAUAUAGUUCUUUUACCCAGUAAUGCAGUAAGAUAUAAUAUGUGCUUAUUUUCUACAGAAAUGACAGGUUGUUCCUCCAGCUUGUCCUCUUGAAUUGUUCCCCAAUAUCUCUUCAGUUUCGAUACAUGAAAUGUGGGGUCUUACUGCAUUCAGGUAAUUUCAAGCGGUAAGCGACCUCAUUUAUCACCUUAAUUAUCUGAAAUAGCCCAAAAUAUUUUUUACAAAAUUUGUUGUGUAGUCUGAGCAAUUGAUAUUUGUCUGUAGGGUUUAAGCUGCACUAGUACCCAUUCUCCUAUUUGAAACUUCAAUUCAGAUCUCUUUUUGUCAGCUUGGUGCUUCAUUCUCUCUUGUGCCACUUUAAGGUUUGUUUUAAUUCUAUCUAGGACUCCUUCUCUGAUUUGUAAGGUGAUAUUAACAGCCUGAAUAGAUGACUGGCCUUCCUCAUAAUGAGGGAUUUCAGUAGCCACCCUUCCAUAUAACACCUUGAAUGGACUCAUACCAAUAGAAGAAUGGUAACUAGAGUUGUACCAUAAUUCCGCCCAUGGUAAUAGUUUUAGCCACUUAGAUGGAUUCUCAUGGCAAUAUAACCUUAAAUACAUCUCAAGUAUUCUGUUUGCCCAUCUGACUGUGGGUGGUAUGCAGAAUAAAAAUUCAGUUUAGUGCCACAGAGUGUAUUUAGUUCCCUCCAAAACUUAGAUGUAAAAACUCUAUCCCUAUCUGAUACAAUAGAGCUUGGAAUUCCAUGCAACUUAACCACAUCCUGUAUAAAUAUUUCAGCAACCAUAGAAGCAUUAAAUUUAGGUGAAAGUGCACUGAAAUGAGCAUACUUUGAUAGUCUGUCUACCACCACCAUAACCACAGAUUUUUCUCUAACCUAUAAAAAAUUUGACAUGACCUAUUCAUAAAUUCGAUUAUGAAAACUUAUAAAAAAUCAAUACAUUCAUUCUAUAAUUAAUAUUCAAAUUAAAAACAAAUACAUUCAUUCAAUUAAUAAUAAAAAUUUCAAAUACAAUUUACAUUACUUCAAUAUCCUACGACGAUAACACAUAUCAUUAAAUAUUUGUAAAAUAACUUCGUUGUCUAUAGGGUUAGGGUUAUCAAUUUAACAUAGGUAAUUUAAAAAUUGAGAAGCAUCUGUAUAAAAAAAUACAUCAGAAGUUAAGAACAAAUAAAUACCAGUGAAUGAAAGAAUCCAACAAGUAGCAAUAGCAAGUUAGCAACGGAGAACGGGAGAGAAGGAGAAUGAGGGAGAAGUGGAGAAGGAGAACAGGGGGGUUACGUCCUUACGUAGUUACAUGGGGGAUUUGUGAAAGGGGGGAGAAAAAUAAAAUAUUGAAAAAUUUAUAUAACUACCCUUAAAAAAUAUUAAUAUAUUGUAAAAUUAUAUUUAACACCUUAUAAAUUUUAUUAUUACAUAUAGGUCCUUGCAUUUUUUUCAACUUUUAGGGGGGCACUUGCCCUUCCUUGCCCCCCUGAAUGUUUCUGUAAUGAAUUACCCACGCAUCAAUUAUCCUAAAAUAUAAAAUAUAAAUAGAGUUUUACAGCAAGUCUAAAAUAUAUCAAAUAAAAAUCCAAUAAACAUAAAAUAGAAAGUAAAAAGUAAAAAGAAUAUACCAUUACGUAUUUCAUGAUCAUUAUCUAUUAUAAUCAGUCUACAGAUCAGAUCGAGUAAGUUAGGAAGAUAAUCUGUUCAAAAAAAAUAUUAUACAUGGAAAGAUCCACAAAAAAAAAUAAAGAGAUCUAAUGAAGAAAGAAAGGAAAAGGUAGAGAUUGAAAACAAGAAGAUAAGAAAUAUCUGUGGCUGUGAAGUAUGAACGUUGUGAGGCUAUGAAUCCUGACUUCCUGUGAGCGUUGUAAGGGUGAGAGGUGAAAACCCUAAAAAAAAAAGACAAACCUUAACUGGAAUAGCGGGAAAUGGGAAUAACGAGUUGACGAUAGUUUUUUUUGGUUUCUAACUUUUGGUAGUUUGUACUUUGUAGUUUUGUUUAAGUUUUAAAACUUAAAAAAUAUUUUUAAAAUUUUAUAUAUAGACCCUAAAUAAUAUAACAUUUAAAAGUUAUAUAUGUAAAUUUAUAUUUGAUAAUAAUAUAAAUAUUUAAUUUAAACUAAUAUAACUACAUUAGUGCAGGAAAUAGAACUGAACCCACUACGUGUUCACUGUUCAGGCCUGAGAAGCUACACGAUAUGGGCCAUCUAAAGGCCUCGAUCUCACUUUAAGGCCCGGCCAACAUGUCAUUACAGUAAUAAAACUAUUUUUUAACAUGAUGCCGAGUUUAAUUUUCAUCCUUGAAAUAUAAUUAGUAAUUAAAUAUUGAAACAUUUAGUUGUUCUAUUAUAAUAAUUUUAGUUGAAUCAACAGUCCAUAUUUAUUAAUUUUUUCAAACAGUCUAUUAAAAAUAUCUGUUAUUACUAAUCAGAUCGUGGUACGCAACUCAUGAUUGAAGAGGGAAGCUUUCCCACUCUAUGGAUGCCUUGUUCAAACACAACACUCAUACCCAUCAGCAGAUGGGGGUCG